AUAAGUUAGAGAUCUAUCUUGUUUAAUUCUACGCUACAAGAACCUUUUAAUUGUACGGUUAGAUGGAAAAAUUUAUAUCUACUUUUCUAUUCGAGAUGGACAAGUAUAAGAAUCACAAAAAUCGCGCAAUAAUUAGAUUAAUUGUAAGUUGCCUAAGAAAGAGAAAUUAAUUGUUUACUAUAUUGUAGCGGCUAACUACGCUAACAAAGAAGAAAUUGUCGUGUAAACGGCUAGCACGGUUUAUGACUGAAAAUCUAUUUUUGAGAAAGCCAUGAUUUCCAAGAAAGAACAUUUCAUAAGGCAUGAUUCUUUAAAGUUUUUCAGUACGGCCUCAAUAGCAAAUUGGUGGUGUCACAAACCCGUUUCGUCACCAACAUCUCCUAGUAACAAUACUCCCACCAAACGUGCUGCUGAAAAUACGCGAAGUUUCCACGGAGAAAAAAUAGUCAGAUGGAGUAUACUCCAUUGCGUAUAGAUGUAACCAUUUUCAGUAAAAGUUAAAUGUUAGAAGCUGACCUAUAUUGAACACGUCUCUGAUCUACCUUACAAUAUUUUUGUUAGAGAAAACAAGAGAAUAUUCCCUUUCAACCGAUAAUGGAUCAGUAGAAUAAUUCAAUAAUUUUAAUAUGUUUUCUAUACACCAUUCAGACAUUAACAUUAACAUUAACAUUAACCCUUGGCACUCGGCAUGCCAAUUAUAUUGGCAUGAAUAUUUUUUAAGGCACUUUGCCGGUUUUACAGCAUAGAGUUGAGCAGAAGCGCUGUUCUUUUGUUUAAGAGCAGGCAAAAACUGUUAUGUCGUUGAAGAAAGGGCCUUCACAAGAUUGCGGGAAAGCCCUUUGAGGGACUGCUGCUUUAUAAUGUACACGUCCCUCCAGAAUCAUCAGAUCCGCCGCAUGUGACCCAUGUUAAUAGAAACAACAAAUAGAUCUGGACCUUUCCGAUGGGUGAGUCAUGCAUCAUAAUGAUAUAAAUUAUUUACUAUUUAUGAUUGAAAUUUGCUGUCUGUUAUUUAUUUGUAUAUGUAUUAAAUUUAUUUGUUUGUAAAUUGGAAUGUUUGAUGAUUAAAUAGAUACAAACUAUUUUUCAGAUGGUUAAAUAAUAGUAAAAAACAAGAAAAUGUUUUAGAUAUGUUGAAAAACAUAAAUAAAAUCAUUAAAUUUUAGUUUUCCGUCAAAUAUUAACAACCAAAUAUGUGUACUUUUCAUCAUUAUGAUACUAAGUGCUUAAUGUUAAUUAUGUAUUUAUUGUUUAUUCUUUUUUUGUUAUUCGUCAUUCGAAUAAAUUUUGGUUGCUAAUCGUAACAAGUUUACAAACUGACAAGCAGAAACAAUAGCGUAGCGAUCAACCGUUUGUGGUAUGGACUACGAUGCGGUUAGGGCUUGAUGGGCCUUUGUGACAUCGCCGAAAAAUUGCUCACGAGGCAUCUCCAUGCUAGUCCGUGCUAAAUCGGCCUUCAAGGCACUUGAACAUGGCUUCAGUGGAAACGGUCCCAUAUAUUUGUAUGAAACCAAUUUUUCAAAUAAUUUUCCAGUUUAGCUGGUCUAUAGGAACGGUUCCAUAUAAAUACAUUGGAGCAAAUUGUUUCAUUUUUGAUUGUUAAUGGAUCUUUAGCUUAAGGCUUACAUUUGUUUAAUAGGUGAUAAAAAUAGACACGAACAUGAUAUACCAUAGCAUACUAGCCCAUUGUUCUUUCUAUUUUUCUCGUGUCAUUACAUAUUGUUAUUUAUAAUGUUAAGCAUUUAAACAAAAGGCGGUCUUUGGAUACAAUCUCAGGUAAGCAAUCUAUUAAGCAUAUCUGCGUUAAAUUAUCAAUCUCAAGAUGUAUUAUAAGCCUUCAUAGAUUAAAUCUAUAGAUUAAGAGAAUUAUAGAUAGAUUCAGAGAAUUAAUAAGCUUUACUCAGUAAUGAAAGUAAGAUGGAUAAAUAUCAUAGAAAAAAAAUGUGUGAUGACCUCAAAUCUUAUGUACAGUUAGUUUAUACUUUUGUUUUUAUCAUUUUUAUAAACAAAUACGAAAGUAAAACAGAUAUAUCGCGCCAAAAAUAUUACUCGCAAACUAUCAACUACUAAAAUUACUACUAAAAUGAAAUUUAGGUUUUCUUAUAAUAAAAAUAUUAUCGCAAGGAAAAUAAAUUUAAUUUCAAAUCUAAAAAUUGUUAAAUCUAUUGUGUAUAAAGAAUUUUAUUAAAAUUAUUGUACAAUUGCACUAAUCCGUUGUUGUUUGAAAGGAAGGAUUUGCUUUUAUUUUCUAAAAAAAAAUAUUAUAAAUGAUUAAUUUCUCAUUCUUAGACAACUAAAUUUAAUUAUUACGCGAUUUUGUUAUUCUCAUACUUAUCUAUCUCAGAUAGAAAAGUAGAUAUGAACUUUUCCGUAAAACCGUGUAAUUAAAUAGGUUCUUCUAGCGUGGAACUAAAUAGGCUCUUGUUUACUCUAGUGUGGAACCAAUCAGAGCAGAUCCCUAACAUCGAAAUUAAAUAGUUAGAUUCUUGUAUAUGCUGGCGUGCAAUCAAACAGGAAAGAUUUCUUCUCCGGUUAUAGUUCCUAACACAUUGGUUUCUAGCUAAGGUUGCCUACCUGAAAUAUAAUAUCUAGUUGUUUUUUUUUUACAUAACUAGUAAAUUUUGCUUAAACCAGCGAAAUACUAUUAUUCGUUUUAUCAAUAUUGAAUUUCGGGAAUUCCUUUCAAUACCUAUUGACGUUCUACUUUUUUAAUUAUAUUUUAAAAUAUAUGAAUUUGCAUGAAAAUUCGCAGUAUAGUUACCAACUUUCAUAUCUAAAAUAUAACAUCUGAGUUUGCACUGCAAUCAAUGUGAGAUAUAUAUAAGUGCUUCUGACAGUGCUGAAAAUUAACAAUUUUAAUUUACUGUUUUGUCAAACCACCAGAAAUAUAAAUAAAUAAAUAAAUUCUUGACAUCAAAAGAUAAAGUUGCAAUAAUGUUUAUGGGUCUUGCUGUUACAAAAAAUUGUGUGAAUACAGAACAUGUAGAAGAAUUUAUAGAUUUUCAUAUUAAAUAUUCAUUUUAUUUCAUUCUAAGUAUAUUCUGAUUGUACUUGUGGAAAUAAUAGAAAUGGAAAUAUUUUAACUCAUAUUAUAAUAUUAAUUAUGACAUAUUUCUUAUUUUAGUUUUCCCAAUUCUGCAAAAAAAUCAUUUUGAUGUUUGAUUUUAAUAAAGAAGCAGAUAUUAUUUUACAAUUUCAAACAGGUACAAUUGCAAAUAGCCUUUCUGCAGACAACAUUAUAUUAAGGGACCGACACGCCGAGGAGGAUCUGGAUCUCCUUAGACUUGCACAACGGCCCAGGGGAUAGCAUUGAGACGGAUGGUCCCUCCCAAUGCCCGAACUAACCAAGGAACGACUCCCUCAGACAGGAGAAGACGCAGCAGUGCUCCAGCAGUAAUUCGAAAGAGGUUCUGGGGCAUCCCAGCCGAGUGUCAAGUGGUCCACCUUGGGGUUUUAGUCGGUAAAGUCCGACACUACCUAUACUACACUUCCCAGAAGAGCAGGCGGCGGGAGUGUCCAUGAGGAUUUCCCCACGUAUAAAAAAAACAACAUUAUAUUAAUUAUAAUAUAAACAUAUAUUUUAAUUUCAUUAUACAAAUUAAUAUACAUAAUUUAGUUUUAUAAUCUUAUUAUUUUAAAUCAAAGUCAAUUAUUUCAACAAUUCUUAAAAUUAAUGAAAUCUUUGUUAGACAUGUGCAUGAGAUUUCAUCUAUUAGACUGUCUAUUUUUAUAAUACAUUAUUAUGGAUCAUUGUUGAAUUUAUCGUAUUAUUAAUAAAGAUUAAUAAUCAACACAUAACAUUUGAUAAGGCCACAUCAAAUUUGAAAUUUUAUGUACCAGCACCAGCAAAACCAUUUUCAUGUUAUAGUUACUUGGUAAAAAAGUAUCAAUUGCUUCAAAUGUAAAAAUAAGAAGAAAUUAUGAAGCAAGGAAUCAUUCAUAUGUAUUAUAUUGCAGGUAAUCAAAAGUUUCAGACAAAAACUAACUGGGUCGUUAGAACUAAUGGGAAUUUGGUGCAAGUCGGUUUAUUCUAGAACAGCAAGUAAUAAAAAUUGUUCUUGUACCGUGAACGACCAAGGUUGCUCGUUAGUAUUUUCGGAAGUAAGUAAAUUUUUAUUUUUUUGUUAUUUUCCUAAUAUCUGAUAAAAUUUUUGAGAUUCGCCUUGAUCGCUGUAAUAAAAAUAAAAUCCUAUAGCAGAGUGUGAGUAUUAAUAUAGCGUAAGGCAGCCAGCAACCAAUAUUGACGCAUGCACUGCCACAAAUGUACAAUUGUAUCCAAAAUUCACUGUAGUAGUAGCGACUGUAUUUUGCAAAUAUCUCGGAAAUUAAGGCUGACCGCCAGUAAUAUGUAUAAAAAGAGAUCGUUCUUAAUCAUGCCCUCCAUCACAUAUUAAAAAAUCAUCGAAAUCGAUGAGGUUUUCUUUUAUACAUUUUCCGUAACUUUUUGUAAUACAUACAUUGAUUUUUCCUGCAUUAUUGUUUCAAAAUUCCUCAAAAUUCAGAUUUUAAAAUAAUUAUACUUCUCGAAGCCGUUGCGAAUGUGCAUGCAAUUUUCUAAAAGAUUAUAACAAAAAAUUCAAAACUAUGUAAUAACUUUCUUUUAUAUUUAUAUAUUGCAAAAAUAUUUAUUUUUAAACAAAUUACUACCUUUUUUAAACUUUCCUUCGAAUUUUUAUUUUUGUUAACAACUCUUUAAAUAAAUAAUAAAAUAAGUAUUUAAGUAAUAAAAAAUAAAAAUAAGUA